GGGUUGUGAGGUUAAGCGACUAAGCGUACACGGUGGAUGCCCUGGCAGUCAGAGGCGAUGAAGGACGUGCUAAUCUGCGAUAAGCGUCGGUAAGGUGAUAUGAACCGUUAUAACCGGCGAUUUCCGAAUGGGGAAACCCAGUGUGUUUCGACACACUAUCAUUAACUGAAUCCAUAGGUUAAUGAGGCGAACCGGGGGAACUGAAACAUCUAAGUACCCCGAGGAAAAGAAAUCAACCGAGAUUCCCCCAGUAGCGGCGAGCGAACGGGGAGCAGCCCAGAGCCUGAAUCAGUAUGUGUGUUAGUGGAAGCGUCUGGAAAGGCGCGCGAUACAGGGUGACAGCCCCGUACACAAAAAUGCACAUAUUGUGAGCUCGAUGAGUAGGGCGGGACACGUGGUAUCCUGUCUGAAUAUGGGGGGACCAUCCUCCAAGGCUAAAUACUCCUGACUGACCGAUAGUGAACCAGUACCGUGAGGGAAAGGCGAAAAGAACCCCGGCGAGGGGAGUGAAAAAGAACCUGAAACCGUGUACGUACAAGCAGUGGGAGCACGCUUAGGCGUGUGACUGCGUACCUUUUGUAUAAUGGGUCAGCGACUUAUAUUCUGUAGCAAGGUUAACCGAAUAGGGGAGCCGAAGGGAAACCGAGUCUUAACUGGGCGUUAAGUUGCAGGGUAUAGACCCGAAACCCGGUGAUCUAGCCAUGGGCAGGUUGAAGGUUGGGUAACACUAACUGGAGGACCGAACCGACUAAUGUUGAAAAAUUAGCGGAUGACUUGUGGCUGGGGGUGAAAGGCCAAUCAAACCGGGAGAUAGCUGGUUCUCCCCGAAAGCUAUUUAGGUAGCCCCUCGUGAAUUCAUCUCCGGGGGUAGAGCACUGUUUCGGCAAGGGGGUCAUCCCGACUUACCAACCCGAUGCAAACUGCGAAUACCGGAGAAUGUUAUCACGGGAGACACACGGCGGGUGCUAACGUCCGUCGUGAAGAGGGAAACAACCCAGACCGCCAGCUAAGGUCCCAAAGUCAUGGUUAAGUGGGAAACGAUGUGGGAAGGCCCAGACAGCCAGGAUGUUGGCUUAGAAGCAGCCAUCAUUUAAAGAAAGCGUAAUAGCUCACUGGUCGAGUCGGCCUGCGCGGAAGAUGUAACGGGGCUAAACCAUGCACCGAAGCUGCGGCAGCGACACUAUGUGUUGUUGGGUAGGGGAGCGUUCUGUAAGCCUGUGAAGGUGUGCUGUGAGGCAUGCUGGAGGUAUCAGAAGUGCGAAUGCUGACAUAAGUAACGAUAAAGCGGGUGAAAAGCCCGCUCGCCGGAAGACCAAGGGUUCCUGUCCAACGUUAAUCGGGGCAGGGUGAGUCGACCCCUAAGGCGAGGCCGAAAGGCGUAGUCGAUGGGAAACAGGUUAAUAUUCCUGUACUUGGUGUUACUGCGAAGGGGGGACGGAGAAGGCUAUGUUGGCCGGGCGACGGUUGUCCCGGUUUAAGCGUGUAGGCUGGUUUUCCAGGCAAAUCCGGAAAAUCAAGGCUGAGGCGUGAUGACGAGGCACUACGGUGCUGAAGCAACAAAUGCCCUGCUUCCAGGAAAAGCCUCUAAGCAUCAGGUAACAUCAAAUCGUACCCCAAACCGACACAGGUGGUCAGGUAGAGAAUACCAAGGCGCUUGAGAGAACUCGGGUGAAGGAACUAGGCAAAAUGGUGCCGUAACUUCGGGAGAAGGCACGCUGAUAUGUAGGUGAAGUCCCUCGCGGAUGGAGCUGAAAUCAGUCGAAGAUACCAGCUGGCUGCAACUGUUUAUUAAAAACACAGCACUGUGCAAACACGAAAGUGGACGUAUACGGUGUGACGCCUGCCCGGUGCCGGAAGGUUAAUUGAUGGGGUUAGCCGCAAGGCGAAGCUCUUGAUCGAAGCCCCGGUAAACGGCGGCCGUAACUAUAACGGUCCUAAGGUAGCGAAAUUCCUUGUCGGGUAAGUUCCGACCUGCACGAAUGGCGUAAUGAUGGCCAGGCUGUCUCCACCCGAGACUCAGUGAAAUUGAACUCGCUGUGAAGAUGCAGUGUACCCGCGGCAAGACGGAAAGACCCCGUGAACCUUUACUAUAGCUUGACACUGAACAUUGAGCCUUGAUGUGUAGGAUAGGUGGGAGGCUUUGAAGUGUGGACGCCAGUCUGCAUGGAGCCGACCUUGAAAUACCACCCUUUAAUGUUUGAUGUUCUAACGUUGACCCGUAAUCCGGGUUGCGGACAGUGUCUGGUGGGUAGUUUGACUGGGGCGGUCUCCUCCUAAAGAGUAACGGAGGAGCACGAAGGUUGGCUAAUCCUGGUCGGACAUCAGGAGGUUAGUGCAAUGGCAUAAGCCAGCUUGACUGCGAGCGUGACGGCGCGAGCAGGUGCGAAAGCAGGUCAUAGUGAUCCGGUGGUUCUGAAUGGAAGGGCCAUCGCUCAACGGAUAAAAGGUACUCCGGGGAUAACAGGCUGAUACCGCCCAAGAGUUCAUAUCGACGGCGGUGUUUGGCACCUCGAUGUCGGCUCAUCACAUCCUGGGGCUGAAGUAGGUCCCAAGGGUAUGGCUGUUCGCCAUUUAAAGUGGUACGCGAGCUGGGUUUAGAACGUCGUGAGACAGUUCGGUCCCUAUCUGCCGUGGGCGCUGGAGAACUGAGGGGGGCUGCUCCUAGUACGAGAGGACCGGAGUGGACGCAUCACUGGUGUUCGGGUUGUCAUGCCAAUGGCACUGCCCGGUAGCUAAAUGCGGAAGAGAUAAGUGCUGAAAGCAUCUAAGCACGAAACUUGCCCCGAGAUGAGUUCUCCCUGACUCCUUGAGAGUCCUGAAGGAACGUUGAAGACGACGACGUUGAUAGGCCGGGUGUGUAAGCGCAGCGAUGCGUUGAGCUAACCGGUACUAAUGAACCGUGAGGCUUAACCUUACAACGCCGAAGGUGUUU
rnacentral:rRNA from 1 species